GCUCUGCUUGGGCGAUGGUUGACUUGC
rnacentral:sRNA from 1 species